CCUACGGGGGGCUGCAGUGGGGAAUAUUGGACAAUGGGGGCAACCCUGAUCCAGCCAUGCCGCGUGUGUGAAGAAGGCCCUCGGGUUGUAAAGCACUUUCAGUGAGGAAGAACGCCUGGUGGUUAAUACCCAUCAGGAAAGACAUCACUCACAGAAGAAGCACCGGCUAACUCCGUGCCAGCAGCCGCGGUAAUACGGAGGGUGCGAGCGUUAAUCGGAAUUACUGGGCGUAAAGCGCGCGUAGGUGGCUUGAUAAGCCGGUUGUGAAAGCCCCGGGCUCAACCUGGGAACGGCAUCCGGAACUGUCAAGCUAGAGUGCAGGAGAGGAAGGUAGAAUUCCCGGUGUAGCGGUGAAAUGCGUAGAGAUCGGGAGGAAUACCAGUAGCGAAGGCGGCCUUCUGGACUGACACUGACACUGAGGUGCGAAAGCGUGGGUAGCAAACAGGAUUAGAUACCCUGGUAGUC
rnacentral:rRNA from 1 species